rnacentral:rRNA from 1 species
UUUCGCAAUGCCCGAAAGGGUGACGAAGCGACGCCGCGUGAGUGAGGAAGGCCUUCGGGUUGUAAAGCUCUGUCAGGAGUUAAGAAAUAUAAGUGUGCUAAUACCACAUUUAUUUGACGAAGGCUCCAAAGGAAGCCACGGCUAACUCUGUGCCAGCAGCCGCGGUAAUACAGAGGUGGCAAGCGUUGUUCGGAAUUAUUGGGCGUAAAGAGCACGUAGGUGGGUUUGUAAGUCAGAUGUGAAAGCCUUCUGUUCAACGGAAGAAUUGCAUCUGAAACUGCGAGUCUUGAGUGUAGGAGGGGAGAAUGGAACUUCUGGUGGAGCGGUGAAAUGCGUAGAUAUCAGAAGGAACGCCGGCGGCGAAAGCGAUUCUCUGGCCUAUUACUGACACUCAGUGUGCGAAAGCUAGGGGAGCAAACGGGAUUAGAUACCCCGGUAGUCCUAACCGUAAACGAUGGGCACUAAGUAGAGGGGUUUU